rnacentral:rRNA from 1 species
GAUGAACGCUGGCGGCGUGCCUAAUACAUGCAAGUCGAGCGAACGGACGAGAAGCUUGCUUUUCUGAUGUUAGCGGCGGACGGGUGAGUAACACGUGGAUAACCUACCUAUAAGACUGGGAUAACUUCGGGAAACCGGAGCUACUACCGGAUCAUAUUUUGAACCGCAUGGUUCAAAAGUUAAAGACGGUCUUGCUGUCACUUAUAGAUGGAUCCGCGCUGCAUUAGCUAGUUGGUAAGGUAACGGCUUACCAAGGCAACGAUGCAUAGCCGACCUGAGAGGGUGAUCGGCCACACUGGAACUGAGACACGGUCCAGACUCCUACGGGAGGCAGCAGUAGGGAAUCUUCCGCAAUGGGCGAAAGCCUGACGGAGCAACGCCGCGUGAGUGAUGAAGGUCUUCGGAUCGUAAAACUCUGUUAUUAGGGAAGAACAUAUGUGUAAGUAACUGUGCACAUCUUGACGGUACCUAAUCAGAAAGCCACGGCUAACUACGUG